AACCAGGAAUGCGCUGACAUCAAAAUACUAUUGGCCAGGGAUGACAAAAGACAUUGCCAAUUAGAUUGCACAGUGUCUGACUUGCCAGAAAGAGGGAAAGCAAUCAAAUCUGGAUACCACCUUGAAAAGCAUAGAGGUCACUCGGAUCUGGGAAUUGGUGGGAAUGGAUUUAAUAGGACCGUUUCCAGUGACAAAGAAUGGAUACCAGUAUAUACUUACAG